CCGUGCUAGAUGGGGAGGUAGCGGUGCCCUGUAACCUGCAACCCGCUGUAGCAGGAUUGAAUUCCUAUCGGCGAUCUGUUGUUGUAGAGUCUGCCCUGGCUAAGUGGCGAGGAGGACUGGGUCCUGCGCAACGGGAACUUAUGAACCCCGUCAGGUCCGGAAGGAAGCAGCGGUAAGUAAGCCCUCUCGUGUGCCGCAGGGGUGCUUGGUCUGAGUUAACUGUCUAGGUACCGUCUGUAGCAACUUGUCAACGAUAGGUGCACGG
rfam:Thermotalea metallivorans strain B2-1 AN619_contig000019, whole genome shotgun sequence.